rnacentral:lncRNA from 1 species
AAAGAGUGACGCUUUCAAAACGAACUUUUGAGAAUGACUCGAUUUUUGUGACUCGUUGUGGAAUGACCACUGGUGAUGGAGACUUGAUUUUAGAGACUCAUUGGAGACUCGAUUUAGAGACUCAAAUUUUUCUUGUAGUGAAUUUUGACUCGAAGGAACUCAGUGAUUCCUGGAAAAAAUGAUUUAUAUACUCCCAAGGAGACCUUUGAAAGCACUUUUUUUUUCUUUUUGCCUUAACUUUUGCCUAGUAGCCUCCCUUUCGGGUUUUCGACUCUAGCAGGCUCUUUGCCCUAACUUUUGCCUAGACCGCCCUUUCGGGUUUUCAGCCUAGCGGGCUCAAUUCUUGCCUGAAGCCGCCCUUUCGGGUUUUCAACUCCAGCUUUUUUUUUCUUAUCCUUUUUUUUUUGUUUUUUUUUUUUUUUUUUUUAUUGGCAAAGAGAAAAUGCUUUUUAUGAUGCAGACUUAUGUUUGUGACCGCGCCUUUGUGGCUGCCUACGUAUCUCCAAGAACUCUUCGGGGGAUGGGGAGAAUCAGGUCUUUCGUAGUUCCUUCCGGGAUGCGAACUUCGUGCUCGGCUGGUGCGGAAUUCAUCUCCGACUUGAUGUU